rnacentral:rRNA from 1 species
AGAGUUUGAUCUUGGCUCAGGAUGAACGCUAGCUACAGGCUUAACACAUGCAAGUCGAGGGGCAGCAUGGUCUUAGCUUGCUAAGGCUGAUGGCGACCGGCGCACGGGUGAGUAACACGUAUCCAACCUGCCGUCUGCUCUUGGCCAGCCUUCUGAAAGGAAGAUUAAUCCAGGAUGGCAUCAUGAGUUCACAUGUCCGCAUGAUUAAAGGUAUUUUCCGGUAGACGAUGGGGAUGCGUUCCAUUAGAUAGUAGGCGGGGUAACGGCCCACCUAGUCAACGAUGGAUAGGGGUUCUGAGGGGAAGGUCCCCCACAUUGGAACUGAGACACGGUCCAAACUCCUACGGGAGGCAGCAGUGAGGAAUAUUGGUCAAUGGGCGAUGGCCUGAACCAGCCAAGUAGCGUGAAGGAUGACUGCCCUAUGGGUUGUAAACUUCUUUUAUAAAGGAAUAAAGUCGGGUAUGCAUACCCGUUUGCAUGUACUUUAUGAAUAAGGAUCGGCUAACUCCGUGCCAGCAGCCGCGGUAAUACGGAGGAUCCGAGCGUUAUCCGGAUUUAUUGGGUUUAAAGGGAGCGUAGAUGGAUGUUUAAGUCAGUUGUGAAAGUUUGCGGCUCAACCGUAAAAUUGCAGUUGAUACUGGAUGUCUUGAGUGCAGUUGAGGCAGGCGGAAUUCGUGGUGUAGCGGUGAAAUGCUUAGAUAUCACGAAGAACUCCGAUUGCGA